CCUAGCACUCCCUGGUAGAAAGGCUCAUAAACGGUGAAGAGGAAAACAAGGAAGAAUACAAUGAGAUAUUCAGAUCUGGGUUUGUGAAAUGCCUGGGAGUUGUAUGCUGAGGUAGCAAGCAAGGGUUCCCUGCAAACUCAGCUGCCAUUGGGUGAAGAUAGCCAUUGAUAAAAACACUGCCUCCAAAUUCUGGUUAUAUGUAGCUGAGGAUCUUCGUCGUGAAAGAGGAAAGUGCCUUGUCUCCUGCUUGAGACAGAGUUCCUCUCCAUCAUCAGUCUUCGUUUAUAUCCUUUUGCUGCUUUGGGGAAUGGUGUACUUUUCCCUGUUUCAGCUAACUUUUACCACAAAACUAUACAGAAACCUCGUAAAUUCUUGCUGCUUUCUUUUCUUGACUAUUUUUGAGUCCAAGAAAUAAGAACUGUCCUCUCGUUCUCUCAGGCCCUGCUGUGUGAGCUGCCAUGUGCAGCUGCAGCAGCAGUGUCACAGAGCCCCAGGGAUGCACCGCCUCCGUGGUCACCCCACCGCGGACUGAGGGUCUUGCUUUCUGCUGGGAAAGAUGGAGGUUACAGACUCAGCAGAUGUUGGCCAGCCUAGUUAAAAUACUUAAGUAGCCUUACAGUCUGUGUCUUUGCUCCUCAGCCUUUUGAGUCCUCAGACUACCGUCGAGAACAACUAUCUCU
rnacentral:lncRNA from 1 species